rnacentral:hammerhead_ribozyme from 1 species
GUACUGACGAAGCGCCCUAGAAUAGGGCGAAACAGCCGUCCAGUAC